rnacentral:rRNA from 1 species
UACGGAGGGAGCAAGCGUUGUCCGGAAUCAUUGGGCGUAAAGCGCGCGUAGGCGGCCUCGUAAGUCCGUUGUGAAAGUCAAAGGCUCAACCUUUGAAAGCCGAUGGAUACUGUGAGGCUAGAGUCCGGAAGAGGCGAGUGGAAUUCCUGGUGUAGCGGUGGAAUGCGCAGAUAUCAGGAGGAACACCAAUAGCGAAGGCAGCUCGCUGGGACGGUACUGACGCUAAGGCGCGAAAGCGUGGGGAGCGAACAGG